GCAAUGGUGGUUCAGUGGUAGAAUUCUCACCUUCCAUGCAGGAGACUCAGGUUUGAUUCCUGGCCAAUGCA
rnacentral:tRNA from 1 species